AGUGAACGCUGGCGGUAGGCCUAACACAUGCAAGUCGAACGGCAGCACAGUAAGAGCUUGCUCUUACGGGUGGCGAGUGGCGGACGGGUGAGGAAUACAUCGGAAUCUACUUUUUCGUGGGGGAUAACGUAUGGAAACUUACGCUAAUACCGCAUACGACCUACGGGUGAAAGCAGGGGAUCUUCGGACCUUGCGCGAUUGAAUGAGCCGAUGUCGGAUUAGCUAGUUGGCGGGGUAAAGGCCCACCAAGGCGACGAUCCGUAGCUGGUCUGAGAGGAUGAUCAGCCACACUGGAACUGAGACACGGUCCAGACUCCUACGGGAGGCAGCAGUGGGGAAUAUUGGACAAUGGGCGCAAGCCUGAUCCAGCCAUACCGCGUGGGUGAAGAAGGCCUUCGGGUUGUAAAGCCCUUUUGUUGGGAAAGAAAAGUAGCAGGUUAAUACCCCGCUGUUUUGACGGUACCCAAAGAAUAAGCACCGGCUAACUUCGUG
rnacentral:rRNA from 1 species